rfam:Eimeria brunetti, Houghton, WGS project CBTX01000000 data, contig: Ebh_contig2965_3
GCGGGCAUGGUCUAGNGGCUAUGACGUCUGCCUAACACGCAGAAGAUCCCGGGUUCGAUCCCCGGUGCCCGUA